AGAGUUUGAUCCUGGCUCAGGAUGAACGCUGGCGGCGUGCUUAACACAUGCAAGUCGAACGGAUGCUUUGGGAAACUGGAGCGUCAGUGGCAAACGGGUGAUUAACACGUGGGUGACCUACCUCAAAGUGGGGAACAACAGACCGAAAGGUUUGCUAAUACCGCAUACGCUCGCCGAUUCAUUUUGGCGAGCAAAGCCGUAAGGCGCUUUGAGAGGGGCCCGCGUCCCAUCAGGUAGUUGGUGAGGUAAUAGCCCACCAAGCCGAUGACGGGUAGCUGUUCUGAGAGGAAGAUCAGCCACAAUGGAACUGAGACACGGUCCAUACUCCUACGGGAGGCAGCAGUGAGGAAUAUUGGGCAAUGGGCGCAAGCCUGACCCAGCGACGCCGCGUGGGUGACGAAGGCCUUCGGGUCGUAAAACCCUUUUGGCAGGGACGAGUGAGGACGGUACCUGUCGAAUAAGUCUCGGCUAACUACGUGCCAGCAGCCGCGGUAAAACGUAGGAGGCGAGCGUUAUCCGGAUUUACUGGGCGUAAAGCGCGCGUAGGCGGUUGGGUAAGUCUGACGUGAAAGCCCCUGGCUCAACUGGGGGAGGCCGUUGGAUACUGCCCGGCUUGAGGGUGAUAGAGGAGAGUGGAAUUCCCGGUGUAGCGGUGGAAUGCGUAGAGAUCGGGAGGAACACCAGUGGCGAAAGCGGCUCUCUGGCUCACCCCUGACGCUGAGUGCGCGAAAGCGUGGGGAGCAAACGGGAUUAGAUACCCCGGUAGUCCACGCCCUAAACGAUGAGGGCUGGGUGUUGGCAGGGUUUCCUGUCAGUGCCGAAGCUAACGCGUUAAGCCCUCCGCCUGGGGACUACGAACGCAAGUUUAAAACUCAAAGGAAUAGACGGGGGCCCGCACAAGCAGCGGAGCGUGUGGUUCAAUUCGAUGUGACACGAAGAACCUUACCAGGGUUUGACAUGUAUGUGGUAGGAAACUGAAAGGGGCCCGACCCGCAAGGGAGCAUGCACAGGUGCUGCAUGGCUGUCGUCAGCUCGUGCCGUGAGGUGUUGGGUUAAGUCCCGCAACGAGCGCAACCCCUUUCGCUAGUUAUAAGUGUCUAGCGAUACUGCCGGAUUAACUCCGGAGGAAGGCGGGGAUGACGUCAAGUCAGCAUGGCCUUUAUAUCCUGGGCUACACACACGCUACAAUGGGUGCUACAGAGCGUUGCCAAGCCGCGAGGCGGAGCUAAUCGCACAAAAGCAUCCUCAGUUCAGAUUGCAGGCUGCAACUCGCCUGCAUGAAGUCGGAGUUGCUAGUAAACGCGCGUCAGCUAUAGUGCGUUGAAUGCGUUCCCGGGCCUUGUACUCACCGCCCGUCACGUGAUGGAAGUCGGUAACACUUGAAGUCGGUGACUGAACCGCAAGGACAGAGCCGCCGAGGGUGGGACUGGUAACUGGCACGAAGUCGUAACAAGGUAGCUGUACCGGAAGGUGCGGCUG
rnacentral:rRNA from 1 species